rnacentral:lncRNA from 1 species
CUUAAUUUAAUUCUAGUUAAAAUCCUAUUGAAUUUCACUCAACUUUAGACCAAACCUAAUUAAAUCUUAAAUCCUAAUAAUUCCUAAACCCUAAAUCAAAUCCUAAAAAAAUCUUAAAUUAAACCCUAUUCUCAAUCCUAAACUCUAAACCAAAUCCAAAAUCAAAUCCUAAACCAAACCCUAAUCCAAUCCUAAAUCCUAAACCAAAUCUUAAAUCAAAUCCUAACCAAAUCCUAAUCCAAAUCCUAAAUCAAAACCUAACCAAACCCUAAAUCCUAAUCUAAAUCCUAAUCCAACACUAAACUCUAAUCCAAAUCCUAAACCCUAAACCAAACCUUAAAUCAAAUCCUAACCAAACCCUAGUCCAAACUCUAAUCCAAACCCUAAAUCAAAUCCUAAUCAAAUUCUAAUCCAAAUCCUAAUCCAAACCCUAAUCCAAAUCCUAAACCCUAAACCAAACCUUAAAUCAAACCCUAACCAAACUCUAAUCCAAAUCCUAAUCCAAACCCUAAACCGAACCCUAGCCAAAUCCUAAUCCAAAUCCUAGUAAUUCCUAUGACAGAUUUAAACCUCAAUAUCUAAUGAAUACACCGUUGAUCUCAAUUUAAAAUUUGCCCACUUUUUAAAAAUCAAGUUCAAAACAAGUAAAAUUUUUUUGAAAAGGAUCGGAAUUACCAAUUUGACGAAAACCUCAAAAAUGUGUUCGGGUGUUAGCCGGCCUCCUUCUCCAAUCUUGUUGCUAACCUUCCAGAGCCAAUUUCUCUUCUUUGCGCCGUUCGAUUGGUUUCAAAUUUCUCAUGGACAUAGGAAAACAAGUCUUAUAUCCUCUCACAUAAGUUUUACUCCAAUCCAACUAUUAGAUUGCAUGAAAUCUUAAAAAACCCUCAUUGGACCUAAAAUUCUACUUUCUGAGACCUCAACUCACUUAAACCUCAAUAUCUCUCAGUUCAACCGUUAGAUCAAGCUCAAAUUCACGACAUGUAUUCAACACAACUAUAAACAUGAAUCCAAAAAAAUUCACCCGUAGAUCUGCAACAAAACUCUCGAAAUCACUCAAAAUAUAAACCCUAUUUUAUUUCAUAAAACCCAAGUCAUUCGAAAAAAACCUCAACUUUGCAAAGCUCUUACAAAUUCAUAUCAACUGCAAAUCACCCAAAAUCAAUGCCUAUAGAAACCCUAUCUAAUCUUCUCUCAAAGCCCUUUCUCCGAUUUGCCAAAGAAUUCCGGAGUCGUCAUCGAGACUCAGUUUUGUGUCUUAGGGUCUGAUUUCGACCCUGGUUCAUAACCGGCCCUCUCCGGGUAUCAAUAUCUAGUUUUUAUAAGUAAAUUUUUUCUAGAAUUUACUCUUAACUUUCUUUUAAAGAUUUUUGUAUCAUUUAUUUUCCCAAUAUACUUUGAUUUGCCUUACUUAUGGUACUACAAAGUAAGUAGAAGUCACCUUUCUAAAAGGCAGCAUUGGUACCUUUUAAUUUUUCUACCCCUUUGGCUAUUAAAUAUAUUUCUAAGAUAAUUUAUUCUAAUACUUUGAACUAAGAUCUCUUAAAUUAUAAUAAUCUCUACACUCUUUCACCUAUUAAUCGUGUUACAUCAUGACAUCCACCCCCCCUUAAUCUGUACAUCCUCUGGCAUGCGCCAACGAUUCUUCAAUAUGUUUAUGUAGAAUGUUCUUCAUCUUGGUACAAUUCUUGAUCUUCAAUAUGCUCUUCUAUUCCAAUUUCAAUAUCUUAUAUUUGAGUUUGUUCUUCAUCAAAACAAAUGCCUUCAUUCCUUUGUUUAAAUAAGUUGAUUCGUUUGCUUGCUAUAGGUACCUUCAAUUUUGUACCAUCAAGUUCUUGUAAUGAAUAUGUUCCAUUGUUGUGUGCCCUUUUGACAAUAUAAGGUCCAAACCAUCUCUUUGCAAACUUCUUCAUAGUGCUAUGUUGAUUGACUAAGCUACUAUCAUAAACUAAUACCCAAUCACCAUCUUCAAUAGCCUUGGGUCAUAAUGGAUGUUUUUUAUCAAAUCUUUCUUUAUUCUUUUCCCUUGCUUCUUUCAAUUUUUUUAUUGCUAUUUCAAUAUCGUUGGGUCUUUUUUCUAGUUAUUGAAUCCAUAAUGCUAAAAGUUCUUCUCUAUUGAGAUCAUUCUUCUAAGGCAAUACACCCCAUGUAGGUACUACAUCUUCUAUUGGCAUUACUGGUUUUUGACCAUAUACUAAUUCAGAAGGCAUAUAACCUAUUACCAAACUAUGAGUUGUACGAUCUGCCCAUAGUGUAAAUGGCAGUAGUCUAGGCCAUUCAUGUGCUUUUCCAUUGCAUGCCUUUAUUAAUGCCUUAACAAUAGGUGAAUGCCCACGCUCACUUUUACCAUUACCUUCUGGAUUAUAUGCAGUUGUUAAAGAAAGCUUAAUUCCUAUCCUAUUAAAGAAUUCUCGUGCUUCUUUUGCAUCCAAUUCACCUCUAUUUGCCGUAAUUUUUCCAAUACAACCAUAGCAACAAAUAACUUCUUCUAAUAGAAAUCGACAUACAGCUUUAGUAUCCUUUGUUCUUAAUGCUUGUCCUUCAACCAUAUUCGAUAAAUCUUCUCGUGCAAGUACCAAAUAUUUCAUUUGUCCAAGUCCCAUAGGCAUUGCCACUAAAUCCACCAUCCAUUUGUAAUGUAAAGCCAAAGGAUAUGUUGGAUGUAACCCAUCUCGAUGUCGAAUAUUUGAAUAUACUUGACAAGUCUCACAAGAUUCUAUAAAUUUUGCUAUGUCUUUGUACAUUCCCUUCCACCAAUAUUUUCUUUUAACUUAGUGAAUGUUGCCCAAAUUCUUCGAUGCCCUGCCCAUAAAUUUUCAUAAAAUUCUUUAAUAAUCUUUUGUUGAACUUCUAAACCACAUAUUAUCCUUUGUGGUACUUCUCCUCUCUUUUUUGGAUGCUUCCAUAAAUAUCCAUCAUGUAAAAAAUAUCCAUAGGCUUUCUUACGAAUUUUCUUAAAUUCUUGAUCUAUUCAAUCUUUUUAUCAUUUUAAUGUGCUCAAAUAGUCUCCAACAUCUUUCCAUUCAUUUUCAUAUAAAUCUCUUAAAAAUGCUUCUAAUGGUAUAUUAAAACAUACACCUUUUUCCUUUGAUAACGCAUUGGUAUAAAAUUUUGUACCCACAUCAUCUUCUAAAUCAAUCAUCUUUUCUUCAUCAUUAUACCUUGCUCUUGAUAACAUAUUUGCAACUGAAUUUUCUUUUUCCGCAAUAUGUUUAAAUUCAGGAUUCAUAGAUUUGAUAUAUGCUAUCUACCUCAACAUAGUAAUAUCAGGAGUUGAACAACUUAUAAUCAUGCCUAACAAAGGUAGACAAUCUGUUUUUAUAACUACUGAUGCUCCAAUUAAGUACUCUUUUUCAUUUUUCAUAGCUAUUACUAUACCCCAUAAUUCUCUUUUGAUUUGCGCAUAUGCCCUUUGUCUAGAAUUCAAUACCUUUGUUCCAAAUCUUAUUACAUAUCUAUUUCCUUGUUCAUCAUCUUGCCCAACCGCCCAACCUAUUCCAAUUGGACUUGCAUCAACUGUUAAUACUACUGGCCUUCCACCUUCAUAAUUUACUUUCUUCAAAGUUGGAGAUGAAGAAAGAAGUUCUUUCAAUUUUUCCAUAGCUUUCCGUUGUUCUUCUUUCCAUUGAAAUUUUUGAUUCUUUCUUAACAACUUAUAUAAUGGAUCUGCUAUAUGUGCAAAGUAAGGUAUCCAUAUAUGAUAGAAAAUACAUGCUCCUAAAACUCUUCUCACUUCCGUUGUAUUUGUACAUUCUUUCAUCUUUUUAAUAAUAUCAAUCUUUUCUAUAUUUGGCUUACGUCUAUAUGAACCACAUAUGUGUCCUACCACCAAAAUUUCUUUUACUCCAAACAUUGAUUUUGUCCCCGAUAAGGUUAAAUGAACUUCUUCCAAUCUUUUCAAAAUCUUAUCACAAUCUUCAAUAUGAUCUGCCACAAACUUCUUACAUCCCUUUGAAUCUAAAGUUUCAUCCUUUCUUUCUUCUUCACAUCCCUUAAUAGGUACAUCAUCCAAGAAAGGCAUUGUUAUUCUUGGAAUAAAAUCUCUUAAUACCUUAUGCAUUCCAUUCAUCAUAUGUACUACAGAAUUUGUAGCCCCUUGUGAUAAUGUGCACAUUCUAACCAAUCCUAACGGUGUCUUCAUAGUUGUCAAAUCCCUACUUUGUAUUGCCAAUUGGAAUUUAUCAUAACUUGAAUAAAGAUCACCCAUUGAGUAGAUAGCUCUUCUAGUAAAAGCUUCUAUAAAUUCAUCCACAAUUGGACUUGAACCUAUAUUUCUAAUAGUCACUUUAUUUACGGGUUGCAUAUCUUGUAUAAAUCUCAUUGUUCCAUUUUUCUUUGGCACUGUAAACCAUCGAUUAGAAUAAAGUGCUAUAGAUGGUUCCAAAAUUCCCAUUUUAAUCUUUUCAUUGAGUAAAUCUACUAACUUAGAUAAAUGCGCUCUUGGUAUUGGAAUUGGUGGCAAAUUCCAUGGUUCAUGAGGAAUAGUAAAAAUAACCAUGGAUGCUACAAUAUUUGGAUCAACACACCCAAUUUCAUGUGCUUCAAAUACAAAAGCUUUUCCAUGACGUGAAAGCAUAUCUCUAAAAUAUUUUUCUUCACAUUUUGUCAAAAAUCCAUCACCUCCAAUAUUUAACCCAUCUAAUGUAACAUCCAUAAAUUUAUGCCCUAUCUUCCUUGGAUCUCUUAGAUUUGGUUGUGUUGAUGCUCCACUUAUCAUUUCUUCACAAUCACAUGGUAGUGGCAAAGCCACUGGUUUGACCUUCUUUGCUACUAAUUUAUACUUAGUUUCAACAUAUACCUCUUGGCGACUUAAAUUUUCUUUAAAUCCUUGAAUUUCAUCAUAAAAUUUUUUAGAACACACAUUAAUAACUCUAUUUUCUACUUGUAACCCACAUUGUAAUAGAUAAUUUAAUUCCCCCAUAGUAUUUGCAAAACCUACUUCUUCAUAUGUUCCUGAAAUAAAUUCAUUUUCAACCAAUUCUCCAUUUUCUUUCAAAUUUUUUUCUAUAUUUUUAAUAUAACAUUUGUCCCUCUUUUCCAUUUUGUCAAUAGACUUGAAAGUCAAUACACAAUCUUGUGUCAUCCCAAUAAGUCCGAUAGAAAACAAUUCUUUUUUUAAAUUAAGCGGGAGCAUUUCUUUCUCUAAUCCAUUGCAACCCCGCUUUACGAUGGUGUGUGGUAAAAAUCCUCAAGGUCUUCAAAUUUCUCAUUUGAUAUUGGUUUCUCUCUCAACUUAUCAUGAUUUCUCUCAUGAUUAGCACAAACAGUUAAAAAUUGAACUGCUUUCAUCCCAUCUUGGCUUCUUAUUCUUGCAUAAGCUGAACCAUCAUCCAUUACUUUUGUUUCCAUUCGUGCGGAAAUAAUAUAUGGUUGUCCCAAUAUAAUAGGGUAUGUAGACAUGUCUUGCACAAAGAAAUUUUGUUUAUGAAUAACAUCUCCAAUUGUCACUUUGAUAUUUGGACAUGCUCCAUACAAAUCUCCAUUUGAAUUAUUCGUAGCUCUUAUCAUCCACCCAUGUUCAGUAUCAAUAGGCCAUUUUUCCUUGUUAUAUAAUUCCUUUGACAUCAAAUUUAUUUCAGAACCAUGAUCAAUUAAUGCUACAACUGGUUCUUCUAAAUUUCACAAUUUUAUUAAAGUCUCCAUUAUAGCCCUUGCCCAAUGACUUCUAAAAUAAUGGCUAGAAGCUUGAAUGACAUCUUCUUUUUCUGCAGACCUUACUCACAAGACAUCUCCAAAAUUUUGUAUUUCAUCUUCUUCAUCUUCAUUUCUUUCCAUUGCUCUUGUUCCUUGUGCAUUUGAUGUCAUAGGGUUUCCUAUAGAUUUUCGUUUUCUCUUUAUUGUAUCAAUAAUAACUUCAUGAAACUCAUGCUUUGUAAUUCCUAGAAUUUCACCAAUUGUGAAUUCAACCUUUCCACUUAAAAUCCGCUCCUCCAAUACCUUCUUCAAAUCUGUAGCUGCUUCAAUAUCUGAUUGUAAUUUAUAAGCAGGAGCCUUUGCUUUUUCUUUUCCAAUUUCCCUCUCUUUUGUAGAAAUGCUCUCCAUUGUCUCUUCAUGUAUAGAAUUCUUUUGUUUUCGUGUUUUUUCUCCUCUUGUAAUUCUUUUUGAGGGCCCUUUAUUAUUUUCAUCUUUCCUUCAUUUUUCUUCUAUUAAUGCUUCAUGUUGACUCCUUGCAAUAUGAGCAUGUACAAAUAGUCUAUCUACUAGAUCAUUCCAUCCAGUAAUUUAUCGAAUAUUAUUACCAACCCAUUUCAAAUCAUCUCUAGUAAAAUUUUUCUUUUCAGCAUACCUCAUUGCACUUGUCCACAAAGAACUAGAUUCUAUUGGAAACUCAAGGUUUAUACUUAAACAUCUACUAGGAUCUGCUUCCACCCAAUAUGUUGAUGCUUCAUUGCUUGAGAUUGUCUGCACUUUAAAAGUAUCUCCAAUAAAUAAAUUCAUUCUUUUUUUACCAAAAUUUGUUUUCAAUUUUUCUCCAUUUUUUUUUGAGUGUAUCAUACCAUCUUUAAAAAAAACAACUCCUUUACAUAAUGCCUCUGUAAAUUCUUCAUAUUCCCUCCUUGAGUGAUCUAUGCUGUCACACCACAUGCAUCUAUGUACUACACCCUCCAUUGGCCUUGGUCUUUGUUUUGUUGAUAUUCUUGAUGAUUGACCUUUCUCUUCAAGUUUUACAAAUUUUAUUUGCAAAUCUCUCAUUCCACGUAUGAUUUCAUCAAUUCCUGUUUCUUCUUUCUUUGAUGUAGCCAUUGAAGGUUGAAUUAAAGAUGUCGGAUGGAUACUAGAUACAUUUAUCUUAGAUGGUUGUAAUGGUCUUUGAUCACCCCCCAUAUCUUUUCUCUUUUCUCUUUUUGUCAUCGUCCUUACAACAUCCUCUAUCCUUUCCCAAUUUGUUGUCAAUCCUUCAUCUUCUUCUUUAUCUUCAAGCAUGAAUUCCAACUUCUCUUGCAACUUUCCAUCAGCUGCUUGAAGAAAGAGUUCCACCUUACUUGGAUCCAAUAACUAUCUUUCUUUCUUUGAUAAAGAAGAAUAUUGCUUUUCAAACUCCCUUAAUAAUUCUAUUGCUAGAAGAUCCUUCUUUGACUUUUCAAUCCAUUCAAAAAAAGACCUUUUUGUAACCCUAUCACUAUCUUUUAAGAAAAACUCAUCCUUCAAAGCUUAAGAAAAUUUCUCCCAUGAACCUCCAAAGUGUUGAAUAAGAAACUUAACUUGAUUUCUUAUCUCUCGUGCAGAGGCUAAUUCAAAUAAUUGAACCAUCUCACUUUCUGAAAUACGCUUCAAUUCCAUUUCCUUUAUAUAACAUCUUAAAUAUUUUGUAAUAUCCUUUCCUUCAAAUUGAUCGAUCUUGUCCAUGACCGCUUGUAAUGCUUUGUUAGCCAUACUCUCUUUGCGAUCUUUAACCUGUUGCUCUUGUUGUUGCAUGAAUAAGGUCAAAGCUUCAAACAUGCUUGUCGAGUUAGGAUCAAAAUGCAUACCUUGUCUUCCAAAUGAAGCUCUUCUUCCAACUCCACUUGAAGCACUAUCCAAAUUGCCUCCUUCCAUUCUCCUUUAAUUCCUUCUCCAAAAUUCAAAUAAAUAAAAAAAAAUAAUAAUAAAUUCCUUCCACCUCAAGCUUUUCUCGUCGGGUUCACCAAAUAUGUCGUAAUGUCUGAAGUCUUGCUUGAGAAUGCUCCGGGCACCUGGCUGUAGAAGGAAGAAUAGAAAUUACGAUAACAAAAUCCUAAUUCUAAUAGAAUACUAACAAUGCUCUAAUUAGACUAUAAUAAUGGUAAACAAACGUAAUCAAAUUCAAAAAAACUCAAAGAAAUUUCAAACAAACAAUAAAAUUCUUAAAGAAAUAUUAGAAUGAUCACAAAUUUUACUCAAAUAUAUGUUAAUUCAACCUUAAUUUAAUUCUAGUUAAAACCCUAUUGAAUUUCACUCAACUUUAGACCAAAUCUAAUUAAAUCUUAAACCCUAAUAAUUCCUAAAUCCUAAGUCAAAUCCUAAACAAAUCUUGAAUUAAACACUAUUCCAAACCCUAAACCCUAAACCAAACCCUAAAUCAAACCCUAAUUCAAUCCUAAAUCCUAAACCAAACCUUAAAUCAAAUCCUAACCAAACCUUAAUCCAAAUCCUAAAUCAAAACCUAAACAAACCUUAAACCCUAAUCCAAACCCUAAUCCAAUCUUAAACUCUAAUCCAAAUCCUAAACCCUAAACCAAAUCUUAAAUCAAAUUCUAAUCCAAACCCUAAAUCAAAUCCUAACCAAACCCUAAACCCUAAUCCAAAUCCUAAUCCAAACCCUAAUCCAACCCUAAACUCUAAUCCAAAUCCUAAACCCUAAACCAAACCUUAAAUCAAACUCUAAUCCAAAUCCUAAAUAAAAUCCUAACCAAACCUAAACUCUAAUCUAAAUCCUAAACCCUAAACCUAACCUUAAAUCUAACCCUAACCAAAUCUUAAUCCAAAUCCUAAUCCAAAUCCUAAAUCAAAUCCUUACCAAAUCCUAAACCCUAAUCCAAACCCUAAUCCAAAUCCUAAACCCUAAACCAAACCUUAAAUCAAACCCUAACCAAACUCUAAUCCAAAUCCUAAUCCAAACCCUAAACCGAACCCUAGCCAAAUCCUAAUCCAAAUCCUAGUAAUUCCUAUGACAGAUUUAAACCUCAAUAUCUAAUGAAUACACCGUUGAUCUCAAUUUAAAAUUUGCCCACUUUUUAAAAAUCAAGUUCAAAACAAGUAAAAUUUUUUUGAAAAGGAUCGGAAUUACCAAUUUGACGAAAACCUCAAAAAUGUGUUCGGGUGUUAGCCGGCCUCCUUCUCCAAUCUUGUUGCUAACCUUCCAGAGCCAAUUUCUCUUCUUUGCGCCGUUCGAUUGGUUUCAAAUUUCUCAUGGACAUAGGAAAACAAGUCUUAUAUCCUCUCACAUAAGUUUUACUCCAAUCCAACUAUUAGAUUGCAUGAAAUCUUAAAAAACCCUCAUUGGACCUAAAAUUCUACUUUCUGAGACCUCAACUCACUUAAACCUCAAUAUCUCUCAGUCAACCGUNNNNNNNNNNNNNNNNNNNNNNNNNNNNNNNNNNNNNNNNNNNNNNNNNNNNNNNNNNNNNNNNNNNNNNNNNNNNNNNNNNNNNNNNNNNNNNNNNNNNAAAAAAAAUUCCCCCGUAGAUUUGCAACAAAACUCUCGAAAUCACUCAAAAUAUAAACCCUAUUUUUAUUUCAUAAAACCCAAGUCAUUGGAAAAAAACCUCAACUUUGCAAAGCUCUUACAAAUUCAUAUCAACUGCAAAUCACCCAAAAUCAAUGCCUAUAGAAACCCUAUCUAAUCUUCUCUCAAAGCCCUUUCUCCGAUUUGCCAAAGAAUUCCGGAGUCGUCAUCGAGACUCAGUUUUGUGUCUUAGGGUCUGAUUUCGACCCUGGUUCAUAACCGGCCCUCUCCGGGUAUCAAUAUCUAGUUUUUAUAAGUAAAUUUUUUCUAGAAUUUACUCUUAACUUUUUUUUAAAGAUUUUUGUAUCAUUUAUUUUCCCAAUAUACUUUGAUUUGCCUUACUUAUGGUACUACAAAGUAAGUAGAAGUCACCUUUCUAAAAGGCAGCAUUGGUACCUUUUAAUUUUUCUACCCCUUUGGCUAUUAAAUAUAUUUCUAAGAUAAUUUAUUCUAAUACUUUGAACUAAGAUCUCUUAAAUUAUAAUAAUCUCUACACUCUUUCACUUAUUAAUCAUGUUACAUCAUGACAACAGCAAUCAAAGAAGAUAGCAUGUCCGGAAAUAAAUUUGUCCAGCUACAAUAGAGACCGUGUGGCUGGAACCUUGUAUAAUGCCUAAUGAAGGUCCUAUCCUCUCCUGAGAACCCUCUUCAUGUUUUACGAUAAAUAUUAUUUUAGGACCUAAAUAUCUCAAUGCCUCUGCCUUGCUAGAUUUAGGAGCCUAAGCUUGUUUUUUAGAUAAAAAAUUUGCUAAAAGACAUAGCAUAUUUUUAAUAAAGAAAACUAAACAUGUUCAUGUAGAAGUCAUAGAUGGUCAUUCAUUGUCUUCAAGAGAUGUCAUUCAUGAAAUCCUUCCUAUAGAAAUAGCAACUAAUGAUCAUAGUAGUUUUAUAAUAUUUAAUAUCAUUAGAUCUCGAUUUGAUCUAGUUAUUUUAGGUUUAUCAUGGCUAGAAAAAUAUAACCCUAAAAUAGAUUGAAGUUCUUAUAGUCUUAAAUUUUUUAAAAGUAUAAUUAAGAGUGUAGUUAAUCAAGUAGAAUGUCAUAAGUCUAGUAUAAUUAAACCUAUAUUUGUAGGUACAAGUACUUUCUUGCAUUUUGCAAAAGAAGGAUCACCUUGUGUCAUUUAUGCCACACCUGUUUCUAUUAGAGGAAAGACUUCAAGUGGCAUUCCAAGCCAAUAUCAAGAUUUUCAAGAUAUAUUUGUGAAAAAGAAUGUGGAUACUCUUCUAGAACAUUGUUCCUAUGACUGCUCAAUUGACCUUCAUGAAGAAGCACAACCACCAUUUGGAUCAAUCUACAAUUUAUCUCAAAAAGAAUUGGCUGAACUCAAGGAGUAUAUUGAAGAAAAUUUGACCAAGAACUUCAUACGCCAUUCCAAAUCUCCAGCAGGAGCUUCAAUUUUAUUUGUGAAGAAAAAAAAUGGAUCAUUGCGGAUGUGUGUUGAUUAUCGAGGACUCAACAAAAUCACUAUCAAAAAUAGGUACUUGCUACUUUUGAUAUCUAGAUUUCUUGAUCAGUUGAAUUAAGCUAAGAUCUAUACAAAAAUAGAUCUACGGAGAGCAUACAAUUUGGUACGCAUCAAAGAAAGAGAUGAAUAGAAGAUUGCAUUUCGAAUAAGGUAUGGACAUUUCGAAUACAAUGUCAUGCCUUUUAGACUUACAAAUAUACCAGCAGCAUUCCAACAUCUAAUGAAUGAUGUCUUUUGGGAGUUUUUAGAUGAUUUUGUUGUUUGUUACCUAGAUGACAUCUUAAUCUAUUCUAAGAACCCAGAAGAACAUGAACUUCAUGUUCACCAAGUAUUACAAAAACUAAGAGAUAUAGGACUUUAUGGCAAGAUAGAAAAGUAUGUAUUUUACACUACUCAAGUCGACUUCUUAUGAUACAUCAUUUCAAAUGAUGGACUUAUGAUGGAUCCUAAGAAAGUUCAAACAAUUAUGGAUUGGAAGAUCCCAAAAAUGAUAAGAGAUGUCCAAUGCUUUUUGGGAUUUGACAAUUACUAUCAGAUCUUCAUUAAAGACUUCUCUCAAUUUGCAGCUCCACUUACACGUUUGAAUUGCAAAGACAAACUUCAAUGGAAUCAAGUUACAGAAGUGGCAUUUAAAGCUUUGAAGACAGCCUUUGUUUCUGUACCAAUCUUGUAUCGCGUCGAUUUUUCUAAGCUAUUUUUUAUGGAAAUAGACACAUCAGAUUUUGCUUUAGGUGUUGUAUUGUCACAAAUGGGAAUAGAUAAUAAACUUCAUCCAAUAGCUUUUCAUUCUAAAAAAUUUUGAGGAGUCGAGAUCAACUACGAGAUCCACAAUAAAGAACUUCUUGCAAUCAUGGAUUCGUUUCAAGAAUGAUGCCAUUAUCUAGAAGGUACUUUUAGCCUAGUCACAGUGUAUACGGAUUACAAGAACCUUGAAUAUUUUAUAUCAACACGUGUUUUGAAUCAUCGCCAAGCCCGUUGGAGUAUGUCUUUGUCAAGAUUCAAAUUCAAGUUCACUAAUCGACCAGAAAAACCACAAGGUUUGUCAGAUGCACUUUCUAGACGAUUUUAUCUUGUACCAAAGGAAAGAAAUGCUGCUUUUGAUCAACAAUGGAUAAUUUUCUUGAAGCCAGAGCAUCUUCAUCUUCGAGCAAUGAAAUCAACUCUAACUAUUGAUUCAACUUUCAUUAAGCAAAUUCAGUCAAGUAUGUCUUCUGAUCCUCUUAUUUGUGAUAUUAAAAAAAAUCCUUCAAAGUCUCAUAAUACUUCUAAGUUUGAAUUCAACAAAAAUCUACUAUAUUUUGAGGAACGCCUAUAUAUUCCAAAAGGUGAAGCUCGAUUAUAUGUUCUUCAAGCUUAUCAUGACUUUCCAAAAAUAGGACAUUUUAGAUACAAUAAAACUUUGGAACUAAUAUCUAAAGACUUUUGGUGGCCCCAAAUGUGGAAAGCAAUUAAAGAUUUUGUACAAUCUUAUGAUAUUUGCUCGAGAUCAAAAACUCCUCAUCAUCGACCUUAUGGACUUCUUCAGCCAUUAUCCAUUCUAGAACAACCAUGGUCUUCUAUUUCUAUGGAUUUCAUCACGGACCUUCCAAUCUCUGGUUCUUAUAACUCUAUAUUGGUGAUAGUAGAUCGUUUUACCAAGAUGGCACAUUUUGUACCAUAUACAAAAUCUAUCAUAGGUGAAGAAAUAGCUAAGCUCUUUCUUGACAAUAUCUAUCGCUAUCAUGGAUUAUCCAAGGAUAUUAUAUCAGAUAGAGAAACUCAAUUUGUAUCAAGAUUUUGGCUGACUCUUUUGAAGAUUUCUAAAAAAGGAUAUAAAACUAUCUUCAGCAUUCCAUCCUCAAAUUGAUGGACAAACAGAGGAUGCUAAUUAAGUUUUGGAGCAAUAUUUAAGAUGUAUCAUUAACUACCAACAAGAUGAAUAGACAACUCUUUUGCCAUUGGCAUAGUUUGCUUACAAUAACACAUUACAUUCUUCUACAAAACAAACAUUUUUCUUUGCUAAUUAUGGUUAUCAUCCACGACUUGAUACUUUUGAUUUUUCAAAAGUUGAUAAUCCUGCUGCGAAAGAUUUGGCAAUUCAUUUGUUUGAGCUACGUAUAACAAUGAAGGCACAAUUAAAAGAAGCUCAAGAACAACAAAAGGUCAAUGCGAAUGUCUAUCAAAAGAAACAACCACCAUUCCACAUGGGUGAUAAGGUAUGGUUACUUCGUCUCAAUAUUAAGACCACUUAUCCUUGUGAUAAGUUGGACUAUCAAAGGCUUGGACCAUUUUCUAUUUCUAUACAAAUCAAUCCAGUUGCAUAUCGUUUAUAUCUAUCGGAGUCAAUGAAAAUCCAUCUAGUAUUCUACAUAUCUCUUCUUGAACCAUACAAGACAGUGGACAUACCAAGAAGAAGACAAACUCCACCUCCUCCUAUAGGAGUGGACAAUAAUGAAGAGUUUGAAGUAGAAGAAGUCUUAGAUUCAAGGCGGCACCGAAAUAAAUUGAAAUAUCUUGUCCAUUGACAUGGAUAUGAUAUUAGUGAAUGCACAUGGGAGCCAAUAAAGAAUCUUGUAAAUGCAACAAAGGGGGUAGAGGCUUUUCAUCGACGACAUCCAUCAAAAUCAAGAUAAAAAUCUUCUUUAUAAAAGAAACAAGAUCUAGACAAGAUAUCAUUCUACUUUCAAUCUUUGUUUGUUGCUUCUUUAUAGUUGUGACGUUUAGGAGAUGGAAAAUCAACAACCAAUGGAUUUGAUUCAAGAGCCUUUGUUUGCUGACCAGUCAGACGAGACAUUAUGAUUGUGUCAACCUUCAAGAUGACGCAAUCAAGAUGAAGAUCUUCAAGAAUGACAUGUUCUUCCUCGAAUAGAUGGUGAAAUACAACGUGUUUGGUAUCACGACCUUGGAAGGGACUCUCAAUGUUUGAUGAUUUUAUUAGAAGUAGGAACAACUCCUGAUGGUAUUCCAAAUAUUUUAUUCAAAGAAAGUUAUGAAGGCUUCAACAAUGAUCAAAUAACUGGGUGGUCUUCCCGCCCUGGUAUGGGACACUACCAAUGGUUGAGAGGCCCUAUCAAUCAUCUUCAAAGAGAACAAAGAUCAGAGUAUGUGGCGAAUAUAAUUUGUCGCAUCAUAGAUUUCUUCAACAUAUGAUUACCGCUCCUCGUGGAGUUUGUCCCUAGAAGGAAGAAUAAUAUCAUGGAUAUACACAUGUAAGCCAAUAAUUACAUGUAUAAAUAGGUAGAAGUAAAUAAAAGUAAGUAAAAAUAAGUUAAUUCUAUAAUAUUUGAUAUGGAAGCUUGUUAGAAGCUUUAUAGAUGCUGCUUUGACUUUAUAGGUGUCUUUAAUUGACUUUUUGGAUUAGAAACGUGGUCAAAAAGUUGGCCAUGUGCCACACAUGUUGUUAGCUUGAAGACCAAGCUAUAAUAAGAAUUAUUAUCGUAUUACGUAUUAUCUUGCUUGAGAACGCACUGGGCGUCUGGUUGUGGAAGAUAAAACAAUGUUUCGUAAGUUUCUAGAUAGGCUAGUGGAUUUCAACCAUCUAAAUACAAAUAUUUUGGAUUUCAAUAUAAAAUCAUAAUCUAAUACAAAGUGCUUAGAAAUAAUAUUUUUAAUAACUUCAAGAUAUUAUAAACACAAAGUCUUUUGUUAUUUUUUAGUUUUUAUUUUAUUUUAUUUUAUUUUAUUUUUUAAUUAUUUUUAUUUUUAUUUUAUGUUAUUUUAUUUUAUUUUAUUUUUAAUCCUAACCCUAGACAACGAGCUUCGACAAGCUGUAAUCCUUAAUCUGACCAUCCGAUUGUUGUAAACUUCUACCACUAGUGUCUUUGCAAGCCUUUUAAAUGUUCAAGAAGUUUUAUCCAAUCUAACUUACAAGUUGCAAGAAAAUAUCGUAAAUCUACACUAAUGUAUCUUGAUUGUUGCCUAAAAGUCCUCGACUUACCAAGCCAAAAGUCACCUUAUUCUAGUAGGUAGAUCUCCAGAUAUUAUAGAAACCCUAAACAACUCCAAUCUACUAACUUCGGAUACCUCUUUACACUAAUGGUUAAAUAUCCUCUAUCUGUUCCAUCAGAAUAACACAAACUUUUACAUGCACUCGGCAUACUCUAUUCUCUAGACACCCCUAAAUUUCAACCACAGAAGUUUCUCCAAUUUCACAAAAUAGUCAAGAGUACCAGUCUUAACUUUAUUGCAAAAAAAAUCCAAAUCACCAAUACAAACACUGACUUUCAGCAACGAUUGCCAUAGUCUUCUCAAAUCCUAUGAAAUCCAAUUCUAUACCUUUCGAAGGAGUUUGAAGCUAGCUCUCUGAUCCCAAAAUCCUGAUCUUGGAAUGCUCCUUUUUCUUAUCCUCUCCUCCUUUUUACCUCCGUGUGGUCUCCUUUUCUCCUGCUUUGGACUCCAAAUUGGAACAGUUGAUGGUUCUUCCCUGGAAUUCUUGUCUCUAAGAGGAACUUUCCACGGAAAGGACGUUUCUCCGAAAUGGCAUAGAAAAUGGAACAACUUGAAAUGGAAUAGAAGCCUCUGUAUUCGGGACCUCAUUGGGUUGCCCAACCAAGUCAGGUCUCAUACUGGAUAAGAGGCCUUUACCAAGACUUGGAUUGGAUAUCCCCAUAAUUAGGUCAAAUUAGCCCUUCACAUCAGACUCACCUGAAUAUUGAAUUGAUUUUUUUUUUUUUUUCUGACACCUGGUAAAAACGGCUCAGACUCACUCCACCCGAUUUAUCGAAGAAUCUUGAGGACCUUGAUUUAUCUCCUCAAUUUCUCCUUGGCAUUGGAUCUACUAAUCCCGUUUAUUGAAAUUGGAUGGAGCAUUACUUUGCUGAUAAGUAUGCCUCGAUUGCUUGCAAUUCCUAUACACUAGUGCAUAAUCAUCGUUGGCUUUGAGAUUAGAACAUUCACUAACAUAAUACCCAACCUGUCUGCAACGAAAAUGACAAAGUGGUCUUCCUGUACCUGCAUCAUGCAUAUCGGGUGUCUCCAAUAGUAUAUACCUACUAGGCUUCUUCCAUAUAGGGUUGGAAAAUGAUCUUGGUUGUCUUGUUAGUACGGAGGGUACUGGGUUCGAUAACGCCGAUGGGGUGACAUUAACUGACCCUAAAUAUUGGCACUAGAAUUGGCCAUUAUUUCUAAUAUCCAAGAUGACUAAAUAUUAAUAAUAUCUUUUUAAUUUAUAUUUUUAUCAUAUAGUCGUGUUACAACACAGUAUGUAUCCCCUCUGAACGUGUGCAUCCUUUGGUAUGCACCAAAUAAUCUAAUUGUUGUUUGAUUCAUAAUACGUUCUCCAAGUCUUCAUCCAAACCAACUUCGUUAUUUUUGCUAUCCAUGUCAAAUUCAUCAUCCUGUUGAAAAAUAUCUAUAUCUUUACCAAGGUCUUGUAUAUUUAUUUCCGUAUACCUUUAUUUAAAUAUUUUUACUCGCUUCCUUGCAAUCAGUAUUUUAAACCUUGUUCCAUCUAACUCCCGCAAUGAGUAAGUUGCAUUAUCAUGAACAGUUGUUACUACAUACGGUGUCGGGAUAGAGAGAGUUUGCCUUAAGAAAACGCUGGGCUUUUGGCUGUCACUAAUUAUUCAAUCAAGCUUGAAAAUAAGGAAAGCCCUAAGUUUAUAUAUAAUUUUUCCUUUUUUGAGUAAUUACACCAAAUACACAAGCCUCAACUAACCAACAACACCCAAAAUAUGAUAAAAUCCUCUAAACCCUUCUAAAUUCUUAUGUGGAGAUUUUUCCAAACUUCAACACCUCAUAUCUCCUAAUCCGACUGUCCAAACAAACUAAAAUUUUACAUGAGGUACUGAUGUAUUCUUAUUAACUUCUACAAGAAUUUUCAAUUGUAAAUUCGUUGCAGAUCUUGAAAUAUCUUGAAAACCCUAACAGUCGCUUCAAACCCUUUUCUUUAUAUAUUUGCGUGCAAUUUUCUUUAUAUCUUACAAAAUAUAAGCUCAAAUUCCACGCAUUUUGUAUGCAUAGCUUCUUAACACAAAAUUUUACAUUCUCCAAAAAGUUUGAGCCAAAAAUUCGUCCAAAAACUCAUGUUAUCACUCCAACCAUUACUAUAAAUAAACCCGCAUACUUACUGCUUUUGAUUUGGAAGUGCCGCCUUCAACUCCGUACAACUCCUUCAUAUGAACUCCAAAAGCAAUAAUUCUUUCAUGAAAGAUGUAGGCUUUGAAGUUGCCAUUCCAAUCGCUCCUUUUGAUCUUCAAAACCUGCUGUAAAACUCCUCGUACCCUCAAAAGAAUAACAAUAUGUCUUAAAUAAACACCUUAACUUCAAACGGCUAUAAUUUCUUCGUCCUAACUCCAAAUCCUCUAAUUUUUGUACAAAAAUUGUACCCCAAAUCCUAAACUUUACAACCCUAGCUUCUAAUCUCCGAAUGCUCUCUUUGAAGUCGCCGAAACCCUUCUUAAGGUCGCGGGCAGCCUCCUCAAAGCCCAUUGGACAUGGUAUUCGACCAAUAGGGAUGAAGUUCUCCAUUCCUUGCCUUCAUCCGACCAUGCCUUGCUUUCAUCCCUCCCAAUUAGCCUACUACUAGUUUAGAUUUUCAUCCUUAGGUUUCCACCUUCUCCCAAGGCUUCAUACUAAACAUUUAGGUCCUAUAUAUAUAUAUAUAUAUAUAUAUAUAUAUUUUAAUGUCAAAAUCAAAAGAAGUAAAGAAACAAAAUAAAGUUUCUUAUAUCAACUCCUUUUAAUUUAAUCUACUAAUUACUCUAACAUACAUCUAGAUUUAUCAACAUAUAAUAUGUUUUAACUAAUUUUUACAUACUAUAAUUAUUUAUAAUACAACAACGGUUCAAACGAUUGUUUAGAAAAUUUCCUUAAAGCACUAUGUUGAUUGUCUAAGCUACUAUCAUAGACCAAAAUCCAAUCACCUUCUUCAAUUGCUUUAGGCCUCAAUCGAUGCUACUUAUCAAAUUGUAUCUUGUUUUGUAAUCUUGCUCUUCUUAACCUUUCUAAUGCUAUUUGUACAUCUUCUGAUCUUUACUCUAAUUAUUGAAUUCUAAUAGCUAGAAGUUCUUUUCUUGUCAAUCCAUCUUCCCAUGGUAUCACACUCCAAGUAUGUACUUUUUCUUCAAUUGGCAUAAUUGGUUUUUGGCCUAUCAUAAACUCAAUAGGCAUAUAUCCCGUUACUGAGCUAUGAGUUGUUCGAUCAGCCCAUAAUGUAAAUGACAAAAGUCGUGGCCAUUCUCUAACCUUCCUAUUACAAGCUUUAAUUAAUGCUUUUACAAUUGGUGGGUGACCAAGUUCACUUUUUGCAUUUCCUUCAAGAUUAUAAGCAGUAGUCAGUGAUAGUAUAAUUCCACAUCUUUCAAAGAAUUCAUGAGCUUCUUAUGCAUUUAAUUCUCCAUGAUCCGCAGUGAUUUUUUCCACACAUCUGUAGCAGCAAAUAACAUCUUUAAGCAAAAAUCUACAAAUUUCUUCCAUAAAUUUUAUUCUCAAUGCUCUUCCUUCUACUUGAUUUGAUAAAUCUUCACGAGCUAAGACCAAAUAUCUCAUUUUUCAUAAUCUGAUUGGCAUAACAACCAAAUCAACAACCCAUUUAAAAUGAAUAACUAGAGGAUAUGUAUGAUGAAGACUAUCUUGAUGUCAUAUAUUAGAAUACGCAUGACAAAUUUUACAUGAUUCUACAAAUAAGAGCACAUCUCGAUACAUAUUUCUCCACCAAUAUCAUUUCUUAAGUUUAGCAAAGGUAGCCCAAAUUCCUCCAUGUCCUAUCCAUAAACUAUCAUGAAACCCCUUUAAUAAUUUUUGUUUCUCUUCCUUAUUGCCUAUUACUCUUUAUAGCAUUUCAAUUCCUUUCUUUAGUUUCUUCCAUAAGAAUCCUUCUUGAACCAAAAAUCCAUAUGCUUUUUUUCUUAUUUUUUAAAUUUUUUUAUAGACCAAUUUUCUUGUUUAAUCAAGGAAUUCAAGUAAUGGCCAAUAUCCAAUAAUUCUCCUUCAUAAAAUUCUUCAAGAUAUAGCUUGUCUUCUUUUUCAAGAUUUAAUAUUGAAUAGAAUUUUGAUCUAUCAACAAUGUCUUCAACCAUUUUAUCUUCUCUUUCAUAUCUUGCUCUAGAUAGCAUGUUUGCUAAUAAAUUGUAUUUUCCAUCAACAUGCUUAAAUUCCGGAUUUAAUGACUUAAUAUAAGCAAUUCAUCUUAACAUUGUAAUAUCUGAUGUUGAACAAUUAGUAAUCAUUCCAAGUCAUAGCAAGCUAUCCAUUUCAAUUACUCCUGCUGCACCAAUCAAAUAAUCUUUUUCAACUCUAAUAGCCGAAACAACUUCCCAAAGUUUUCUUUUGAUUUGCAAAUAUGUACAUUGACAAGUACCUAAAACUUUAGCUCCAAAUCAAACUGCAAAUCUAUUUCCACUUGAAUCAUCUUAAUCCACAAGCCAUCCAAUAGCUAUAAGACUAGUAUCCACAGUAAGAAUUAUUUGUCUAUUACAGUCAUAAUCAAUUUUUCUUAAAAUUGGAGGUAUUACCAAUAAUAUCUAGCUUUUGUAUUGCUUCAGUAUGCUUUCUUUUCUAUUUAAAUCGAUAAUCCUUACAUGAUAAUUCAUACAAUGGAUCCGCUAUAUGAGCAUAAUAAGGAAUCCAUAUACAAUAAAAUACACAAGCCCCUAAAAACCUAUGUACUUCUGUUAAAGAGUCACAUGAAUUCUUCAUCUUUUCAAUUGCAUCAACUUUUUUUGGAUCUGGCUUUCUCCCAUAAAAUCCACAUAAAUUCCCAACAAUAAGAACUUCCUACACUCCAAACGUAGAUUUUGCUCCUGAAUGUGUAAGAUGAAAUUCUUCAAGUCGAGUUAAAAUCUUUUCACAAUCUUGUAUAUGAUCAACAACAUAUUUGCGACACCUCCUCUCAUCUAAAGUUUCAUCUUUUUCUCCUUCUUUACAUCCUUUGAUUGGAACAUCAUCUAAAAAGAGCAUAGUUUUUUCAAGAAUGAAGUCUCUUAGUACCUUGUUCAUCCCAUUCAUCAUAUGUGCAACUGAAUUAAUAGCACCUUGUGAGAGAGUACACAUUUUAAGCAAUCCAAGUGGCGUUCUCAUUGUUAUUAGAUCUCUACUCUCAUGCGCAAGUUGAAAUUGAUCAUAACCUGAAUAUAAAUCAUCCAUUGAAUAAAUUGCCCUUCCUACAAAUGCUUCUGCAAACUCGUCUACUAAAGGUCCUAUACCUGCAUUUCUUAUAGUUACUACAUUUAUUGGCUGCAUAUCUUAAAUAAAACAUAACAAUCCAUUUUUCUUAGGCACCAUAAACCAACGACUAGAAUAUGGAGCAAAAGAAGGUUCCAAAAUUUUCAUUGACAUCUUUUCUUUCUAUAAUUCCACCAAUUUAGAUAAAUGUGUCCUUGGCAUGGGAAUCGGCCUUAAGUUCCAAGGCACAUGAGGUACUGUAAAGAUAUUCAUAGGAGCAAGAUCUAUACAUCCUAUUUCACGAGACCCAAAGAUAAAUGAUUUACCUCGAUUCACAAGCAUUUUUUUAAAAUAUUCAAUUUCUAUUGGAAAUAAAGAACCAUAGAUCCAAUCUUCAAUUCUUCAAAAGUCUCCUUUAUAAACUGAUGUCCAAUCUUCUUUGGAUCUCUUAAACUCUCUUUUUUUGAUGCUUCUUCCAUUUUUUCUUUAGAAUCUUCUGGUAAAGGUCCGGCAACAGGUUUUAAUUUUUUAUCUAUUGUUUUAUAUUUUGUCUCUAUAAUAACUUCUGGUGCUUGAAAAGAUUCAAGUAUAGAAUAAACCUCCCUCGAAUGAAUUUCCACAAUCUUAUCAUUGUGCCCUAAUCCAAUAGAUGCAAUUAAUUCUAAAGAAUCCUCCAAUCCAUUUUCUUCAUAAACAUCUAAAAUCUUCUCAUCAUCUUCUAAUGUCCCUAAUUUACGUAAUUUCUUUUCAAUACUAUAUAAUCUUUUUCUUUCUUUUCUUUUAAAAUCAUCAACUUUCUUAUACAUAAUAUUUCCAUUCUCAAAAAUACCAAUAAAACUUGCAUCAAAGAUAGCUUCAUCUCACGAGAGUACUUCUUCUUUUGUACCUCCAUAAUCCCGCUUUAUAGUGAUACUUCUCUAAAAUCCUUAAAUCCUUCAACAAUCCUUGGCAAUGGUUUCUCCCUCAACGCAUCUUAAUUCCGUUCAUGAUUAGGAGAUACUCUUAGAAACUGUACAGCUUUCCUUCCAUCUUCACUACAUAUCAUUGCAUAAGCAGAAUCAUCAUCUAGUACUUUUGUUUCUAUCUGUGUUGCCGUAAUAUAAGAUUGUCCUAAAAUCAAUGGAUAAGACAUUGUAUCUUGAACAAAUAAAUGUUGUUCUGUCGCAACAUCUCCAAUCUAAAUUUUGACAUCUAGACAAGCUCCAUAUAAUUUGCCUUACGUGUUAUUACUUGCUAGUAUUGUUCAUCUAUGUUCCAUAUCAGUUGGCCAUUUCCACUUCUUAUAAAGAUCUUUAGACAUAAGAUUUAUUUCAGAACCAUGGUCAACUAAAGCAACAAUUGGUUCUUCUAUAUCUCCUACUUUCACCAAUACUUCAGUAGUUACCCUCGUCCAAUGUUUUCGAGUAUAAUGGCUUGAAGUUUCUAUUUUCUUAUCACUAUAAUCUUUGAAAUAUACUCAUUGAUAAUAUCCAUUCUUUUUAUUUGUUAAUUGUUUGUAACCAUUAUGAACCUCUUCUUCAUCUUUAUAUAAUCUUGUAUCAAUAGCAUGACUUAUUCCAGCUUCACCCAUUAAUUAUCUCUUUUGCUUAAUGUUGUCAAUGAUAACAUCAUGAAACUCCUUCUUUACAAUUCUCAAAAUCUCUUUCAAUGUGAAUUCCACCUUAGCAUUUAAUAUAUGUUCUUUCAACACCCCUUUUAAAUUUGUUGCCGCUUUAAUAUUAGAAAGUAACUUAUAAGCAAUUGAUUUAUCCUUAUCUUCUCUCUCCUUUGUUUUUUCUUCCAAUGAUGCUGAAGUAUCCUUUAUAGGCAAUUCUUAUGAAACCACUUCAUGAGCCUCGUUUCCUCAAGUCUACAUCUUAGAAGAAUUUCCUUCUCUUAUAUCAUCAAAAUUUCCUCGUCUCUUUUCUUCUAUCAAAGCUUGAUGUUGGUUCUUAGCAAUAUAUGCAUGAAUUGAAAGAGACUCAACAAGAUCUUCCCAACAUGUUGCACCUCGUAUUGUAGCUGCAGUCCUCAAUAACACUUCCCAAGGUAUUUUCUCUUUUUGCAUUGUAGAAAUGGCAAAAGCCCAAAAUUUACUAGUUUCUAUACAUCCAACAAAGUCAUCAUCUACUCUAGCACCAUAACUUGCACUCUCUUGUGAUGCUACUCCAUGUUCUGUUAAACAAUCUUGAAUCAAUGCUCUCAUACAUCCCUUGCCAAAAUUGGUUUGAAGAAGAUCUUUUGUAUUCUUUAAUACAAUCUUUCCAUCUUUUUGGUAAAUAUUUCCUUACUAUAUUAUAUUAUUAAAUUCAUUGCAAUCCUUCCUAGUAUGUGAAGCAUCAUCACACCAAAUACAACUUUGUACAUACUCUUGUUUUGAAAUAUUCUUCAAUUUAUUUGUAGAAGUAUUUUCUUCGAGUCUUGUCAAUUUGAUUUGAAGAUCUUGCAUUCCAUGUAUAAUUUCUUCAAUCUUUAUGGCUCUUUAUUUUGAUAAAGAUAUCGAAGGUUGAACAAUAGGCAUUGUUGAUCAAUUGUAUAUACUGGAAUUUUAAGUGCUUGUACUAUUUUUUGAAUAUUACUCCUAUUUUUUCUCGUUUCUCUUUUUGCAAGCAAAUCCACUGCAUUUUCAAUAUUUUUCCACUUUGUUGUCAAUCCUUCAUCUUCCUCUUUAUCUUCAAGAAGCAACUCCAAUUUUUCUUAUAAUUCUCCAUCAGCAGCUUGAAGAAAUAAUUUAACCUUGUUUGACUCUAAUGACAAUUUUCCUACCUUCUAUAAUUGAGAAUAUUGCCUCUCAAAUUCCCUUAGUAGCUCUGUUGCUUGCAAAUUCUCAUUACGCCGCUCAAUCCAUUUUAGAAAUAGUUUCUUAGUAACACGAUCAGUGUCCUCCAAGAAAUAUUCGUCUUUUAAUGCAUGUGAAAAAAUCUCCCAUGAAUUUCCAUAAUACUCCAUAAUUGAGGUAAUAUGUUCUCUUAUUUCUAGUAUCAUGGCUAGUCCAAAUAAUUCAACCAUCUUCUUUUCAAAAACCUGAUUUAAUUCUAUUUCUCGAACAUAACAUCUUAAAUACUUUGAAAUAUCCCUUCCAUCAAACUGGUCAAUUUUAUUGACUAUUGCUUCUAAAACUUUGGUUGCUAAAGCUUUUUUACAAUCAUUGCUUUGGUAUUGCUACAUAGAUAAUGAUAAGCCUUGAAACAUACUAGCAAUAGAUGGAUCCAUGUACAUACCCUAUCCUUUAGAAGAAACUCCAUCAGAAGCUCCACUUGAAGUUCUUCCCAAAGAUCCUUCAAAAUUUUUAUUCUUGUUCUCCAUAAAACAAAAUAAAAUUAAACAAAAUCCAAUACCUUCCACCUCAAGCUUUCACAUUGGAUUCAGCACUCAUGUCAUAUUACGUUGUUGUAAUAGGUGAAGUCUUGCUUGAGAAUGCUCCGGGCACUUGGCUGUAGAAAGAAGAAUAGAAAUUAAGAUAACAAAAUCCUAAUUCUAAUAGAAUACUAACAAUGCUCUAAUUAGACUAUAAUAAUAGUAAAUAAAUUUAAUCAAAUUCAAAACAACUCAAAGAAAUUUCAAACAAAUAAUAAAAUUCUUAAAGAAAUAUUAGAAUGAUCACAAAUUUUACUCAAAUAUAUGUCAAUUCAACCUUAAUUUAAUUCUAGUUAAAACCCUAUUGAAUUUCACUCAACUUUAGACCAAACCUAAUUAAAUCUUAAACCUUAAUAAUUCCUAAACUCUAAAUCAAAUCCUAAACAAAUCUUGAAUUAAACCCUAUUCCAAACCCUAAACCCUAAACCAAACCUUAAAUCAAAUCCUAACCAAACCCUAAUCCAAAUCCUAAAUCAAAUCCUAAUGCAAACCCUAAAUCAAAUCCUAACCAAAUCCUAAAUCCUAAACUAAACCCUAAUCCAAACCCUAAUCCAACCCCAAACUCUAAUCCAAAUCCUAAAUCAAAUCCUAAUCAAAUCCUAAACCCUAAUCCAAAUCCUAAUCCAAACCCUAAACCGAAUCCUAAAUCAAAUCCUA